rnacentral:rRNA from 1 species
UAAAAUGAGAGGUAAAUUUCUCCUAAGGCUAAAUAACGGCGAGAGACCGAUAGCGAACAAGUACCGUGAGGGAAAGAUGAAAAGAACUUUGAAAAGAGAGUUAAAUAGUACGUGAAAUUGUUGAAAGGGAAACGAUUGAAGCCAGUCGUACCUGCGGGUAAUCAGCCUUUUGGGCAUGAUUCUGUGGAGCGUGAGGAGUUAAACGCCUUCAUGCCUGCAUAUUCGUGUACUUUGGGUGUACUUGCCUGUGUGGUUAGUUAACAUCAAUUUUGGUUAUCAUAAAAUGGUUGGAGGAAUGUAGCUUCGAUUUCGAUUGAAGUGUUAUAGCCUUCGGCAGAUGUGAUGAUCGGGAUUGAGGAUUGCAACGGAUACCUUUCGGGGCUACCUGUCUGAUCUCUGAUCGUUGCUCUGGUGCCGAAAGCGUGCUUACGGUUAUCAGAGUCGAUGGUCAAUAGGUUAGAACGGGUUAAA